AGCAGCCGCGGUAAUUCCAGCUCCAAUAGCGUAUAUUAAAGUUGUUGCAGUUAAAAAGCUCGUAGUUGAAUUUCGGGAUCAAUACGUCGGUCGUGCUUUCGGGUACGUACUGGCGUCAUUGGUUUCUCCUUUCUGACGAACCAUGAUGUCAUUAAUUUGGUGUUAUGGGGAGUUAGGACUGUUACUUUGAAAAAAUUAGAGUGUUUAAAGCAGGCAUUAGCUUGAAUACAUUAGCAUGGAAUAAUGAAAUAGGACGUUCGAUCCUAUUUUGUUGGUUUCUAGGAUCAACGUAAUGAUUAAUAGGGAUAGUUGGGGGCAUUAGUAUUCAAUUGUCAGAGGUGAAAUUCUUGGAUUUAUUGAAGACUAACUACUGCGAAAGCAUUUGCCAAGGAUGUUUUCAUUAAUCAAGAACGAAAGUUAGGGGAUCGAAGACGAUCAGAUACCGUCGUAGUCUUAACCAUAAACUAUGCCGACUAGGGAUCGGAUGAUGUUAAUUUUUUUAAUGACUCGUUCGGCGCCU
rnacentral:rRNA from 1 species